GUCCAGCUGACGAGUUCGAAAUAGGAUGAAAUGCGCGUCCUAGAU
rnacentral:hammerhead_ribozyme from 1 species